rfam:Myotis lucifugus cont2.2472, whole genome shotgun sequence.
GGCAGUUCUCGGGUGAUGCACCCUGGAAUCAGGCUCCCUCCUCUCUGGUUCUGGGUGUGUCGCUCGAGAACCAUA